rnacentral:SRP_RNA from 1 species
GCCGGGUAUGAUGGCACGUGCCUGUAAUCCCAGCUACUUGGGAGGCUGAGGCAGGAGAAUUGCUUGAACCCAGGAGGUGGAGGUUGCAGUGAGCCGAGAUCAUGCCACUGCACUCCAGCCUGGGUGACAGAGUGAGACUCUGUCUCAA